CCUACGGGAGGCAGCAGUGGGGAAUAUUGGGCAAUGGGCGCAAGCCUGACCCAGCAACGCCGCGUGAAGGAAGAAGGCUUUCGGGUUGUAAACUUCUUUUGUCAGGGACGAAGCAAGUGACGGUACCUGACGAAUAAGCCACGGCUAACUACGUGCCAGCAGCCGCGGUAAUACGUAGGUGGCAAGCGUUAUCCGGAUUUACGGGGUGUAAAGGGCGGGGAGGCGGGGAAGCAAGUCAGAUGUGAAAACCACGGGCUCAACCUGUGGCCUGCAUUUGAAACUGUUUUUCGUGAGUACUGGAGAGGCAGGCGGAAUGCCUGGUGUAGCGGUGAAAUGCGUAGAUAUCAGGAGGAACACCGGUGGCGAAGGCGGCCUGCUGGACUGCAACUGACGUUGAGGCCCGAAAGCGUGGGGAGCAAACAGGAUUAGAUACCCUAGUAGUC
rnacentral:rRNA from 1 species